rnacentral:tRNA from 1 species
CCCUGGGUGGCACAAAUGGUUAAUGCACUCAGCUGCCACCUGAAAGGUUGGUAGUUCAAAUCCACCCAGAGGUG